rnacentral:rRNA from 1 species
GAAGAAGUGAAUUAAGGGCAUUUGGUGGAUGCCUUGGCAUGCACAGGCGAAGAAGGACGUGAUACGCUGCGAAAAGCCGUGGGGAGCUGCGAAUAAGCUUUGAUCCAUGGAUCUCCGAAUGGGGCAACCCACCUUAAGAUAUCUAGAAAAUCAUUCCUGUUGGAAUGAUUUCUAUCUUCUGUUUGAUCUCACGUGCCGUAUCGCACUUCCGUUGGAAGUGCUGGCACUGCGAUGGCGCGCUGCACGUGCAGCGACGGACUAUCGUCCUGUAUUGGUGCCCUGCUCAAGAUUGAGUAUGGCAACAAUACAGGCCAGAGGUCGUCGCCAAUCGUUUGGCGCACCGUCUGUAGCGCAGCGGCCGCAAGGCCGCGACAGCGUGAAGACAAAACAGAUCCCCGGCGCGUCCGGGUGGGACAGAGAACCGGAAUGGUUUCUAGAUAUCGCAAUUAAGGUAUCUUACUUUCGAAUACAUAGGGGUAAGAAGCGAACGCAGGGAACUGAAACAUCUAAGUACCUGCAGGAAAGGACAUCAACCGAGACUCCGUAAGUAGUGGCGAGCGAACGCGGACCAGGCCAGUGGCAAUGCUGAAUAAAGUCGAACGCUCUGGAAAGGGUGGCCAUAGCGGGUGAUAGCCCCGUAGACGUAGAACAGGCAUUGUCCUUGAGUAGGGCGGGACACGUGAAAUCCUGUCUGAACAUGGGGAGACCACUCUCCAAGCCUAAGUACUCGUGCAUGACCGAUAGCGAACAAGUACCGUGAGGGAAAGGUGAAAAGCACCCCGACGAGGGGAGUGAAAUAGAACCUGAAACCGGAUGCCUACAAACAGUCGGAGCCCGAGAGGGUGACGGCGUACCUUUUGUAUAAUGGGUCAACGACUUAGUGUAACGAGCAAGCUUAAGCCGGUAGGUGUAGGCGUAGCGAAAGCGAGUCUGAACAGGGCGUUCAGUUCGUUGCAUUAGACCCGAAACCGAGUGAUCUAGCCAUGAGCAGGCUGAAGGUUGGGUAACACCAACUGGAGGGCCGAACCCAUAACUGUUGCAAUAGUUCGGGAUGACUUGUGGCUAGGGGUGAAAGGCCAAUCAAACUCGGAAAUAGCUGGUUCUCCGCGAAAUCUAUUUAGGUAGAGCGUCGACCUUAUACCCUCGGGGGUAGAGCACUGGAUGGGCUAU